rnacentral:rRNA from 1 species
UUAUCAGAGAGUUUGAUCCUGGCUCAGGAUGAACGCUGGCGGCGUGCUUAACACAUGCAAGUCGAACGGGAAACCUUUUAUUGAAGCUUCGGCAGAUUUAGAUUGUUUCUAGUGGCGGACGGGUGAGUAACGCGUGGGUAACCUGCCUUAUACAGGGGGAUAACAGUCAGAAAUGACUGCUAAUACCGCAUAAGCGCACAGAGCUGCAUGGCUCGGUGUGAAAAACUCCGGUGGUAUAAGAUGGACCCGCGUUGGAUUAGCUGGUUGGUGAGGUAACGGCCCACCAAGGCGACGAUCCAUAGCCGGCCUGAGAGGGUGAACGGCCACAUUGGGACUGAGACACGGCCCAGACUCCUACGGGAGGCAGCAGUGGGGAAUAUUGCACAAUGGGGGAAACCCUGAUGCAGCGACGCCGCGUGAAG